UCCCUCUUGGACCAAUCUUAGUUGGUGCUACCAGCAAAUCCAGAGAAGCUCAAGCUCAAGUGCAAUAUAAGAAUUGCCAUACGUGUAUACAGAUCUUUCUCAUGGAACACAGGUAAUACACUUUCAUAUAUGCUCUCUCUCACUUGGUUCUGGUUAUAAAUAAUGCUUUGAUUUUGAGUAUGAAAUCACAAAGCAAAAUUUAUUGCAUCUAUAUGUGUGUGUGUUUGUGUGUUCUCCCUCGUAGUCUCUUCUCAUCUGCAUUGAUAUCAAGGUGAUCUGACAUAAGUAUGAGACGUACAAAAGUCAAAUGGGGGAAGUGAUCUCGAUCUGUACAGUGUAGCCAUACAUAUGUAUAUAGUGUAUAUACCAUGUCCAGAUAUUCAUGAUCCCAGUUUUUCUUUCCUUCCUUAUUUUUGGGUUACGAAGGUUUUAAUUAGUAUUUAAUUAGACACUACUCUCUAUGAAUUUCUUCUCAAUAACAUAUUAUUAUAGUUUGUUUGAAGCUAUAUGUGCAUGUUUGGUUAAUUAAAGACCAAAAGUUGGAAAAUAUAUACUAUUAAUUACUAUAUGCAAUUUUAUUUUUCAUGCUCAUCUUUCAUGUGAACUUUUACAUACGUUUUCAAUUCCAUUUGUUUUUUUUUUCGUACUCAAAGAAAUGAACAGUUUGUAAUCGUCGUAUUUUACAUAUUAAACAAGUGACAAACUAAACAACUUAGAGGCUUGUGUCAAUUUGUGAAGAAAAUGUUGUUAGAUUGAGAACCAUGGAAUACAAGAAUAUAUGGGCAAGACCCUAUCGUUUGAUCAACUUCCAAAGUAAACCCUUUUAUAGUAAUUUGACGAUGGGGAAUGCUUAUUUAUACGAAUUAGUGGGAUACAAAAACUGUAUACAAAACCAAUUGUCUUCAAUUUAAUUUAUUCAAAAAGUUAUUGUUUUUUAUUUUAUUAAUUUUAAUAUUUGUUAUAAAGACCUGGGUUUGUAAUCGCAUGGGUGAAAAACAGUUUCAUAACAUAGCUAGUUUGCUGUUUGAUGUUUGAUUCGGGCUACUGUUUAAGUUGAACUAAGCACAGUAUUGUUUUGUUUUAAUAGAGUUGGUUUAGGCAAAUUAAUUUGAAAAUGAAGAGAUCAAACUGUUGGUUUUUUGGGAGACCAAAAAUCAAUUACUACUCUUUAUUAGAUUCGUUGCACAAUAUUGAGGCUGUGAGCAGUGCAAAUUAAUGAAGCUCCUGGAGCCAACUUUGGAGCUAAUGAUAAAUGAUU
rnacentral:lncRNA from 1 species